rnacentral:rRNA from 1 species
UAAUACAAGGGGUCCAAGCGUUGCUCGGAAUCAUUGGGCGUAAAGCGGGUGUAGGUGGCUUUGUAAGUCAGGAGUGAAAGCCCUAGGCUUAACCUAGGAAGUGCUAUUGAUACUGCAAAGCUUGAGUGUGGGAGAGGAUCGUGGAAUUCCACGUGUAGUGGUGAAAUACGUAGAUAUCUGGAGGAACACCGGUGGCGAAGGCGGCGAUCUGGCCCAACACUGACACUCAGACCCGAAAGUGCGGGGAUCAAACAGGAUUAGAUACCCUGGUAUUCCCGCACGUAUACNAUGGAUACNUGGUGUUGGAGGUAUUGACCCCUUCAGUGCCGAAGCUAACGCGUUAAGUAUCCCGCCUGGGGAAGUACGGCCGCAANGUUUAAACUCCAAGAAAUUGACGGGGCCCGCACAAGCCGGUGGAGCAUGUUGUUUUAAUUCGAUGCNACCGCGAAAGAACCUUAACUANGGUUUGACCUGGAUUGGAAAGGAUGGCA